GGCAAGCUGUGGAAGGCUGGCCCAUCCAGGUCUCCUCCGCAGGGAGGAACGCAGGCAGGGGCGGUAACGGCUACCCAGGAGGACACAUUUUUUGAAGAUACAUCACUUUAGUGAGAAUACUUUUAUGAAGGAUUUAAUAUCCUUUGCUGUAAUCUUGGAACAAACCUACAAGGUGGACACAGUUAUUUCCACUCUGCACAUGGAGCAGCCUGAGGCCCGGAGGCCCAGAGAGGUUAAAUACUCCACGCCUGGUCUCACAGUGAGUUACAGACACGGCAAGUAUUUCAACUGACGUAGCAGAGGUUCUCCAAAGACAGACAGGAGGUUCUUGUCAGCUGUUCCAUGGAUGACCGUAGAAUUGGACCACCAAGACUUGCGCAGGAUGAUUUUAAAAAGGAUUGCCAUGGAGAGAUCUCUCAUUCUCGAUGAAAAUGAAGAAACAGAGAGGUCAAGUGACUCAUCCACAGCUGCAGAGGUCAUUAGAGAUACAGCUGAGUCUUGGCUACUGAUUUUUCAACUUCCUAUCACGACCUAUUUCUAUCAUAUGGUAUUCUAGACCAGAGAUCAGCAAAUUCUUCCUGUAAAGGGCCAAAUAGUGAAUAUUUUAGACUGGGUGGGCCGUACAGCUUCUGUGGCCACUAUUCAACUCAGCUGUUUUAGCCCCAAAGAAGCCAUUGACAGUAUAUAGACAAAUGUACAUGGCUAUGUUCUAAUAAAACUUUAUUUUAAAAGGUAGGUGGCAGGCCCAAUUUGGCCCACAGGCCAUAGUUUAAUGUCUCCUGCUCUAGAUAUUUCUCUUCCUCAAACAUACCCUCCAUGGUAAGGAAAUUGUCACAGUUUAGAGGUGGUUUGAAGGAUAGCACUUCAUCUUCCAAAAUUCAGGGCAUUAGAGCACUCAAGCAAGAUUUGGUGCUAUGUCCUUAAAAAGGAGAAAAGAAGUAGGGUGCCAGUUUUGUGAACAUGAGCAAAAAGACUGUUUAUGGCCUAGUGCAGUGGUUCAUGCCUGUAAUCCCAGCACUUUGGGAGGCCAAGGACGGUGGAUCACUUGAGGCCAGGAGUUCAACACCAGCCUGGCCAACAUGGCAAAACCUGGUCUCUAUUAAAAAUACAAAAAUUAGCCAGGUGUGGUGGUGCACACCUGUAAUUCCAGCUACCCGGGAGACUGAGACAGGAGAAUUGCCUGAACCCAGGAGGUGGAGGUUGAGUGAGCUGAUAUCAUGUCACUGCACUCCAGUCUGGGUGACAGACUGAGACUCUGUGUCA
rnacentral:lncRNA from 1 species